rnacentral:rRNA from 1 species
GACGAACGCUGGCGGCGUGCCUAAUACAUGCAAGUCGAGCGGACGAAUCGAAAGCUUGCUUUUGAUUCGUUAGCGGCGGACGGGGGAGUAACACGUGGGCAACCUGCCCUGUAGACGGGGAUACACCGAGAAAUCGGUGCUAAUACCGGAUAACACGAAAUGUCGCAUGACGUUUCGUUGAAAGACGGCGCAAGCUGUCGCUACAGGAUGGGCCCGCGGCGCAUUAGCUAGUUGGUGAGGUAACGGCUCACCAAGGCGACGAUGCGUAGCCGACCUGAGAGGGUGAUCGGCCACACUGGGACUGAGACACGGCCCAGACUCCCACGGGAGGCAGCAGUAAGGAAUCUUCCGCAAUGGACGAAAGUCUGACGGAGAAACGCCGCGUGAGCGAAGAAGGCCUUCGGGUCGUAAAGCUCUGUUGUUAGGGAAGAACAAGUAACGCAGUAACUGGCGUUACCGUGACGGUACCUAACGAGAAAGCCACGGCUAACUACGUG